AAAAUAAUUAAAUCUUUAAUUUGAUAUUACUUGAUAAUUUUGAAAAUAUAAAACAAAGUAGCAAUACAGAUGCGAUAAAACUUUUUUAUAAAAUGUUUUGUAUUUUCCCACAAAAUUACAUGUUAAUUUUCUGACAUAAACCAGUUCAGACUUCAGUAUAUUACAUAAUACGUGUUAUAUCCUAACCCAAACAGAGUGAAAACUUUAUGGGCAGUUCACAGUAUCAAUCCAGAAUUCAACAGCAUGGAAGAAAAUGUUUAUUCAUGUUUUACCAAGAAAAAUUAAAGAUUAAGAGGAAGAGUAGUAGAAACCCCUCCAAACGAAAAACUACACAGAUAUUAAUUUUAGUAUGAAAUUCUCAACUUCUUUUAUUUUCAUAUCACAAGCUUUGAAAAAGUUCCGUAGGGAUAGGAAGUUAAAUGAUGUUUAAAAAUUACUAAACAGAAUUAAAACACUUUUAUGGGGCUUUAGGAAAUAUAAAUCUACUAUUUUGAAAA